ensembl:snRNA U6 U6 spliceosomal RNA
GUGCUCACUUCAGCAGCAUAUAUACUAAAAUUUGGAAUGCUACGGAGAAGAUUAGCAUGACCCCUGCACAAGGAUGACAUACAUGCUAACUCAUCAAGUGUUCCAUAAUUUU